CCACUCACCCCCAUAGAUGAGCUGGCUCUAUAAACACUGAAUAGAAGAUUAACACUGCUGUUAUAACCUCAUAUAGAGAUCUGUGCCUUAUGAAAGCUUUUUACUGCUGCUGAUCUACGAGCUUCAUAAUAGCCUUUUUGUUUUCAGUAUGACAACAGAUCCGAAGUCAACGGUCUGCCAUUCCCAGUUUCAGUGCCACUUACAACACAGAUCCAUCUUGACCUCAAAGGCUUCCUACAAUGUGUAAGAAGAGACUUCAAGAAGCAAACAAAGAGCGGGUCUUCGUACCAGGGAGCAGAGCGCUUCGAGACUGGGCAAACAGCACAGGGGAGGAACAGCAAUGAAAGGAGCUGAGAGCAGAGACGGACAGACAGAGACAUGAUUGUUUUGCUCCUAGCCAGCGCCUUUUUUCCAGGAAUUUCAAAUCAAGAUGAAUCAAACACUGAUGAACCCGUGUGAGGUUGGACGGGGUGGCGGGGUGCAAUAAAACUUCUGGUUCAAUCCUGAAUAAACGUCCACACCCGUUCCCCGAAAUGAGCUGCAGGGAAAGCCUGGGGCAACAGGUCACAUAGGGAGGGGUAAGGACACAGAGUGGCAUUUUGCUGACAGCGGGAAACACCCUUGUCCACCUGCUAAGAAGAGCAGGGCUGGUAAAUUAAUACAGUGUAUUGGCUUCCACCGGCUGCUGUCCACUUCUCUCGAAGCAUCCCCCUCUAGUGGGAUCAGUGGGGAUGUCACAUGAAAAUUGAACUGGAAGGAACAAAAUCUUGCCUGGGAUUUAAAUCCAUGCAAAGCAGAACAGCAAAAAUGCUGCCGAAAGGCAUUGCAGCCCGUGCCUUGUGCAUGCUGGCUAUCUCAAACCUAGUCACAAAAAAAAGACAGGGGUCUUUACCCCCCCAUGCAUUGGCCUAGUGAGCAAGUCACUAAAACAGUCCAGUGGAUUCCCUUAUGAUUACAGGAAUCCUGGUUUUCUCCGAUUUAGAAAAAUAUGGAUUUGGGGUUACUUUUUUAAUUUGAAAAUUGGGGAUUUUUUUUGUGAUUCAGAUGAAAUGCCAGCAGUAUAUAGAUAAACAUAUAGUGGUGUUUCAUUUUAAUUGUGGAAAAACGUGGAUUUAGGGUUACUUUUUUUUAAUCUGAAAAUUGGGGAUUUUUUUAAAUCGGAGAAAACUAGGAUCCCUGCUAGGAAGCAAGGAUCCUCUUUGUGUGUCUGAAAGGAAAGAGAAGAGGCUCACAUAAUUUCCCCGCCCCAUCGGUGCAUGGAUAACUAGAGCUGGACGUAGAGUCUUGCCUUUUACUUCAAUUAUUCCCUUGAUGCUAUUUUCUAAACUUUCACACAUAUUAAGUGCUGGGAUACACAGUGACAAAAUAAAAGCAAACCAACUUGA